rnacentral:piRNA from 1 species
GAGGUUGUGGAAGAGUAAAGUUUUU